rnacentral:rRNA from 1 species
UGGGGAAUAUUGGACAAUGGGCGAAAGCCUGAUCCAGCCAUGCCGCGUGUGUGAAGAAGGCCUUUUGGUUGUAAAGCACUUUAAGCGAGGAGGAGGCUACUUAGAUUAAUACUCUAGGAUAGUGGACGUUACUCGCAGAAUAAGCACCGGCUAACUCUGUGCCAGCAGCCGCGGUAAUACAGAGGGUGCGAGCGUUAAUCGGAUUUACUGGGCGUAAAGCGUGCGUAGGCGGCUUUUUAAGUCGGAUGUGAAAUCCCUGAGCUUAACUUAGGAAUUGCAUUCGAUACUGGGAAGCUAGAGUAUGGGAGAGGAUGGUAGAAUUCCAGGUGUAGCGGUGAAAUGCGUAGAGAUCGGGAGGAAUACCGAUGGCGAAGGCAGCCAUCUGGCCUAAUACUGACGCUGAGGUACGAAAGCAUGGGGAGCAAACAGG